GCCGGGGUGGAGAAAUGGUAGACUCGGGGGUCUCAAAAGCCCCUUCCUUCACGGAGUGUCGGUUCGAGUCCGACCCCCGGCACCA
rnacentral:tRNA from 1 species